rnacentral:rRNA from 1 species
CGCGGCCUAUCAGCUUGUUGGUGAGGUAACGGCUCACCAAGGCAUCGACGGGUAACUGGUCUGAGAGGACGAUCAGCCACACUGGGACUGAGACACGGCCCAGACUCCUACGGGAGGCAGCAGGAGGGAAUAUUGCGCAAUGGGCGAAAGCCUGACGCAGCGACGCCGCGUGGGGGAAGAAGGCCUUCGGGUCGUAAACCCCUUUCAGCAGGGACGAAAUUGACGGUACCUGCAGAAGAAGCGCCGGCCAACUACGUGCCAGCAGCCGCGGUAAUAUGUAGGGCGCAAGCGUUGUCCGGAUUCAUUGGGCGUAAAGGGCUCGUAGGCGGUUUGGUAAGUCGGGUGUGAAAACUCAGGGCUCAACUCUGAGACGCCACUCGAUACUGCCAUGACUAGAGUCCGGUAGGGGAGUGUAGAAUUCCUGGUGUAGCGGUGAAAUGCGCAGAUAUCAGGAGGAACACCGACGGCGAAGGCAGCACUCUGGGCCGGUACUGACGCUGAGGAGCGAAAGCGUGGGUAGCAAACAGGAUUAGAUACCCUGGUAGUCCACGCCGUAAACGUUGGGCACUAGGUGUGGGGCCUUAUCAACGGGUUCCGUGCCGUAGCUAACGCAUUAAGUGCCCCGCCUGGGGAGUACGG